rnacentral:rRNA from 1 species
UACGGAGGGUGCAAGCGUUAUCCGGAAUUACUGGGUUUAAAGGGUGCGUAGGCGGUUUCAUAAGUCAGUGGUGAAAGUUUUCAGCUUAACUGGAGAAUUGCCAUUGAAACUGUGGGACUUGAAUUAUGUUGAGGUUAGCGGAAUGUGACAUGUAGCGGUGAAAUGCAUAGAUAUGUCAUAGAACACCAAUUGCGAAGGCAGCUAGCUAGGCAUAUAUUGACGCUGAGGCACGAAAGCGUGGGGAGCGAACAGG